AUAAUUCAGUAUAGAAAGAAACAUAUAUAUUUAUCAACUUUAAUUUCUAUUUAAAUGACAAAAGAUUAGACAUUUAAUAUAUGGUUACUUGUUGUGUCUGUAACAAAGAUGAUAUGUAUUUCCAAAAAUUACUUAUUAAGAAAAAUGCACUACAUAGGUAUUGCACUUUCUAGACAAGAUGUCAAUAUUGUGCUAUAUGAUUUUAAUUAUUUUCUUUAUUCCUUUUUUGUUAUUGUUGUUCUAAGUGCAUUAUAAUUCGCACAAAUACUAUGAAAAUGGUAUAGGGAUUCAUAAAUACAAUUUAGUCUUCUGAAUCAGCUGGUAUAUUGACCAGAAACAUAAUGGGGUUGCAGAUAAUGUACAAGUUUACAAUACACAUAUACUGGAAAUAGCAUUGUUGACUAACUUAUUCUGUAAAAAGUGAGUUAAUUUGUUAAUUCACCAACUUUAAUUACCAUAAGUCUGAUCUUAUUUCGAUAAAAAGUGCAUUGGCUCCUAUUCGCUAUUUUCUUUUAGCUAUCUGUGCUAACUGCAGGAAAGCCCUCACCAAAUCAACAUAUACAGAUUUUGAGCCAAGUAUUGUUGAGGCCAAAGCAUCCAGUGAGCAGAAUGUAGCCCAUGAUGAAGAUUUUGGUGAAGCAUAUAACCUUAGAAAUAAGCAGCAGCAAAAGUAUUAUGAAAGUGAUGAUACACUAUCUAGCCAAGAGACGGCUCAUGAUUUUAACACUGCAGACAGUCAAGGGACA